UACGUAGGGUGCGAGCGUUGUCCGGAAUUAUUGGGCGUAAAGAGCUUGUAGGCGGUUUGUCGCGUCUGCCGUGAAAAUUCGAGGCUCAACCUCGAACUUGCGGUGGGUACGGGCAGACUAGAGUGUGGUAGGGGAGACUGGAAUUCCUGGUGUAGCGGUGAAAUGCGCAGAUAUCAGGAGGAACACCGAUGGCGAAGGCAGGUCUCUGGGCCGAUAUCGCGCUGAGGAGCGAAAGCGUGGGGAGCGAACAGGAUUAGAACUACCGUAGGUCAGUCCA
rnacentral:rRNA from 1 species